rnacentral:misc_RNA from 1 species
GAUGAAGAACGUAGUGAAAUGCGAUAAUUAAUGUGAAUUGCAGAAUUCAGUGAAUCAUCGAGUCUUUGAACGCACAUUGCGCCCCCUGGUAUUCCGGGGGGCAUGCCUGUCCGAGCGUCAUUGCUGCCCUCAAGCACGGCUUGUGUGUUGGGCUUCCGUCCCUGGCAACGGGGACGGGCCCAAAAGGCAGUGGCGGCACCAUGUCUGGUCCUCGAGCGUAUGGGGCUUUGUCACCCGCUCCCGUAGGUCCAGCUGGCAGCUAGCCUCGCAACCAAUCUUUUUAACCAGGUUGACCUCGGAUCAGGUAGGGAUACCCGCUGAACUUAAGCAUAUCAAUAGCGGAGGA